UACAACGUACUACCUGUUCAUAGUAGUCGUUGCUGUCAACAGCACACUGCUCACCAUCAACGCAGGGGACUACAUCUUCUACACAGACUGGGUGUGGACGUCCUUCGUUGUGUUCUCGGUGUUGCAGUCUACAAUACAUGGUGCAGGAGCAAUAUACUAGAUGUUAUGCACAUAUGUUCCAUGCACAGCAACAUAUUACGCAACAUUACUGACCAAAAACAACUGUGAUGCAAAGGCAGUGUGGGUGGCAUUAUGAUACCAUCUAACCUUUGUGCGUGUACACAAGCCGCAACAAGCACGCUGCCAUACUGAUUGGCGGUACGCUGUUUGGCCUAUCCUACCCGAUGUUCGACAUUGUCAACCUGUUGCUUUUAAGGGACCCGCUCGAGGUGGCCUUCAAGUAUCCGAGACCGACUCUGCCCGCGUACAUGACGCCUAUAGAGCCUCAGGUAGGGAAGUUCUACAACUCGCCUGUCGCACUGGGUUCAGGUGCCGGUGCAGUGCUAACGGUACCCAUCGCUGCGUUGGGUGCAAAACUAAACACGUGG
rnacentral:rRNA from 1 species